rnacentral:rRNA from 1 species
GGACUACUAGGGUUUCUAAUCCCGUUCGCUCCCCAUGCUGUCGUGUCUGAGCGUCAGUUGCGAGCCAGGGCACCGCCUUCGCCUCUGGGGUUCCUCCGGAUCUCUACGCAUUUCACCACUACACCCGGAAUUCCAUGCCCCUCUCUCGCACUCCAGAACGCCAGUCUGGCAUAACCUUCCCCGGUUGAGCCGGAGGCUUUCAUACACCACUUGGCGUCCCGCCUGCACACCCUUUACGCCCAGUAAAUCCGGAUAACGCUUGCCACCUACGUUUUACCGCGGCUGCUGGCAC